rnacentral:rRNA from 1 species
AUUUACGGGAGGCAGCAGUGGGGAAUAUUGCACAAUGGGCGCAAGCCUGAUGCAGCCAUGCCGCGUGUAUGAAGAAGGCCUUCGGGUUGUAAAGUACUUUCAGCGGGGAGGAAGGUGUUGUGGUUAAUAACCACAGCAAUUGACGUUACCCGCAGAAGAAGCACCGGCUAACUCCGUGCCAGCAGCCGCGGUAAUAAU